rfam:Nicotiana attenuata strain TT chromosome 2, whole genome shotgun sequence.
AUUUCAUUAUGUUGAAACCUUCUCACUAUGUCCUUGAAUCUUUCCCAAGCUUCAAAAACCGUUUCAAUGUCCUUCUGUCACAAGUUGUGGAUUUCCCUUCUAAACUU